rnacentral:rRNA from 1 species
UACGAAGGGGGCUAGCGUUGCUCGGAUUGACUGGGCGUAAAGGGCGCGUAGGCGGUUCGUACAGUCAGACGUGAAAUUCCUGGGCUCAACCUGGGGGCUGCGUUUGAUACGUGCGGACUUGAGUGCGGAAGAGGGUCGUGGAAUUCCCAGUGUAGAGGUGAAAUUCGUAGAUAUCGGGAGGAACACCGGUGGCGAAGGCGGCGACCUGGGACGAUACUGACGCUGAGGUGCGAAAGCGUGGGGAGCAAACAGG